AAAAAGGGUCUUUAAAUAGAGGAAACAGAGGCAUACAAGAAUGAAUCAAGAAUGAAGAAGAGUCACUCAGAGGAGAGACUGGAAGACAGACACUUGAGGAGAGACUGGAAGACAAAUACUCAGACUUGGAGUGAAGACACUUGGCUGUGGAACUGGACCCCUGGAGGAGCUUGUGCAGGAGACCUCAGACUGCUUCCUUUUAGACAGUCACUAUGCAUAUUAUUUUGAUGGAAGAAUAUAAAGAAAAUCUACCCUCAUACCAGACUGGAAAAGACAGAAAUAAUUUAAUAGUUAUUUCACACUGCAUGACUCUCUAUGCCCUACAUUUGGAGUUUUCUUGGCAAAGAUACUGGAGAGGUUUGUCAUUUCCUCUUCCAUCUCAUUUUACUGAUGAG
rnacentral:lncRNA from 1 species